rnacentral:rRNA from 1 species
GACGUAGGGGGCGAGCGUUGUCCGGAUUUAUUGGGCGUAAAGCGUGCGUAGGCGGCUGCGCAAGUCGGUUGUGAAACCCCGGGGCUCAACCCCGGAACUGCAUCCGAUACUGCGUGGCUAGAGGUAGGUAGGGGAGAUCGGAAUUCCUGGUGUAGCGGUGAAAUGCGCAGAUAUCAGGAGGAACACCGGUGGCGAAAGCGACCUCCUGGACCAAUACUGACGCUCAGGUGCGAAAGCGUGGGGAGCAAACAGG